GCGCCCGUGUGCUUCCGGUAGUGGCGGGUCAGCUCAUCUGAUCGUGCGAACCUCCAGUCGCAGCCCUCCCAGGUGCACUUGUAGGGCUUUUCACCUGUGACAACCAACAAACAGGCACAGAAUGAGUACCAGAUAUCUUUUCCUUCAUUUGCAGUUGACACAAUUAUCCCAGACCAGUGGAUUCCUCCCUGCUCUUAAAGAUGAAAGAACAAGUCCUAGAAGCAAAGUUUAAUCUUCCCAGUGAGUCACUGAAAAGAAAUUGUUUCUAAGCUUUCUCAUAAAUACCUCUUCAGGGUCUGAACCAGCAAGUCUCUUAAGGCUCAAACUUUUUUUUUUUUUUAAAUAAGCCAGAAAUUGUCAAUAUAGAAAAUAAAUUUCA